rnacentral:rRNA from 1 species
CCUACGGGCGGCAGCAGUGAGGAAUAUUGGUCAAUGGACGGAAGUCUGAACCAGCCAUGCCGCGUGCAGGAAGACGGCUCUAUGAGUUGUAAACUGCUUUUGUACAAGGGUAAACCUGAAUACGUGUAUUCAGCUGAAAGUACUGUACGAAUAAGGAUCGGCUAACUCCGUGCCCGCAGCCGCGAUAAUACGGAGGAUCCAAGCGUUAUCCGGAUUUAUUGGGUUUAAAGGGUGCGUAGGCGGAUUGAUAAGUUGGAGGUGAAAUGUCCGAGCUUAACUCGGGAACUGCCACUAAUACUGUUGAGCUAGAGAGUAGAUGCGGUAGGCGGAAUGUAUGGUGUAGCGGUGAAAUGCUUAGAGAUCAUACAGAACACCGAUUGCGAAGGCAGCUUACCAAUCUAUAUCUGACGUUGAGGCACGAAAGCGUGGGGAGCAAACAGGAUUAGAUACCCCUGUAGUC